CAUAUCAAUAAGCGGAGGAAAAGAAACCAACAGGGAUUGCCCUAGUAACGGCGAGUGAAGCGGCAUCAGCUCAAAUUUGAAAUCUGGCUCUUUCAGGGUCCGAGUUGUAAUUUGCAGAGGGCGCUUUGGCGUUGGCAGCGGUCCAAGUUCCUUGGAACAGGACGUCACAGAGGGUGAGAAUCCCGUACGUGGUCGCUGGCCUUCGCCGUGUAAAGCCCCUUCGACGAGUCGAGUUGUUUGGGAAUGCAGCUCUAAAUGGGAGGUAAAUUUCUUCUAAAGCUAAAUACUGGCCAGAGACCGAUAGCGCACAAGUAGAGUGAUCGAAAGAUGAAAAGCACUUUGGAAAGAGAGUCAAAUAGCACGUGAAAUUGUUGAAAGGGAAGCGCUUGCAGCCAGACUUGCCUGUAGUUGCUCAUCCGGGCUUUUGCCCGGUGCACUCUUCUGCGGGCAGGCCAGCAUCAGUCUGGGCGGUUGGAUAAAGGCCUCUGUCAUGUACCUCCUCUCGGGGAGGCCUUAUAGGGGAGGCGUAAUGCAACCAGCCUGGACUGAGGUCCGCGCAUCUGCUAGGAUGCUGGCGUAAUGGCUGUAAGCGGCCCGUCUUGAAACACGGACCAAGGAGUCUAACAUCUAUGCGAGUGUUUGGGUGUCAAGCCCGAGCGCGUAAUGAAAGUGAACGGAGGUGGGAUCCCUUUAGGGUGCACCAUCGACCGAUCCUGAUGUCUUCGGAUGGAUUUGAGUAAGAGCAUGGCUGUUGGGACCCGAAAGAUGGUGAACUAUGCUUGAAUAGGGUGAAGCCAGAGGAAACUCUGGUGGAGGCUCGCAGCGGUUCUGACGUGCAAAUCGAUCGUCAAAUUUGGGCAUANGGGCGAAAGACUAAUCGAACUAUCUA
rnacentral:sRNA from 1 species